rnacentral:lncRNA from 1 species
AUCAGUCACAAAUUAUCAGUUAUGAAUUAACAAUUUUUUAGGUCACGUAUUAUUUAUUAGUCACAAAUUAUCUUUCUAUUGGUCCUAUAUUAUUUAUUGGUAUUAAUCAAUUUAAUGGUCACAUUCAAUCAAAUAAUUUGUGACCACCAACAACACUUGUUGCCACCACCAGCUCACCACCAACAAAUCAGAUCCAAAAUGCCAUCACCUCAUCACCGUAUCGCCUCCACCAUCAUUGUAUUCAUCACCAACCGUUUUCAACCACCACCACAAUCAACACUCUUUCAUGGACCUAUCAACAAGAAACCAUCACUACACCAACAUGUCACCUGCAUUGUCAGAUCCACUACCAUUACACUACCCAUACCACCAUCACCAUCGUAUCAACCAUAUCACCUUCUGAACUAAACCAACACUACCACCUCCCGAAACCAUCACUAGCAACAAGAUCCACCACCAUCCCCACCAACAAAACCACAACUACUACCGGAUCCAACAUAACCUACACCACCAACACAGCCCCACCCACCAAUUGAAAACACACCCAAAAAAAACUAUAGCAAAUCAUGAUGCUACAGAUUCUAGCUACGGUACGCAGUAAGUCUCAAUCACGGCUGAACCAGUGGGGAUCUCACCUACAAUGGCACGACGGCUCUCAAAUGGUUUCAUAUAGGAAACAUCACCACCCAUAGCCGCUCUUCUCUUGCGUCAUCAUACAGUAGUUGUGCGCCAAUCGUCUCGUCACUCUGUGGGCGGCAGUCCUCGUAGUCUUUUCGAUCGCGCUCAUCACCGCCGCUGUGUAGAGACAGAGAGAGAUGAGAUUGGGAGAGAGAAAGGGGUUGGCUAUGGUUGUCUGGACAGAA